GUCUACAGCCAUGCCACCCAGAAUGCGCCUAAUUUCGUCUGAUCUCAGAAGCUAAGCAGGGUAGGGCCUGGUUAAUACUUGGAUGGGAGACCACCUAGGAAUACCAGGUGCUGUAGAUA
rnacentral:rRNA from 1 species